rnacentral:rRNA from 1 species
UACAGAGGGUGCGAGCGUUAAUCGGGAUUACUGGGCGUAAAGCGCGCGUAGGCGGCUUUGCAAGUCGGGUGUGAAAUCCCCAGGCUUAACCUGGGAACUGCAUUCGAGACUGCAUUGCUAGAGUAUGGGAGAGGGAAGUGGAAUUUCCGGUGUAGCGGUGAAAUGCGUAGAUAUGGGAAGGAACAUCAGUGGCGAAAGCGACUUCCUGGACCAACACUGACGCUCAUGCACGAAAGCGUGGGGAGCAAACAGG